GGGCUCACUUUGGCAACACAUAUACUAAAAUUAGAAUUAUACAGAAAAGAUUAGCAUGGCCCUUGCACAAGGAUGAUAUGCAAAUCUGUGAAGGAGUAAAGGGUAGU